UAGGGAAUCUUCGGCAAUGGACGGAAGUCUGACCGAGCAACACCGCGUGAGUGAAGAAGGUUUUCGGAUCGUAAAGCUCUGUUGUUAGAGAAGAACGUUGGUAGGAGUGGAAAAUCUACCAAGUGACGGUAACUAACCAGAAAGGGACGGCUAACUACGUGCCAGCAGCCGCGGUAAUACGUAGGUCCCGAGCGUUGUCCGGAUUUAUUGGGCGUAAAGCGAGCGCAGGCGGUUCUUUAAGUCUGAAGUUAAAGGCAGUGGCUUAACCAUUGUACGCUUUGGAAACUGGAGGACUUGAGUGCAGAAGGGGAGAGUGGAAUUCCAUGUGUAGCGGUGAAAUGCGUAGAUAUAUGGAGGAACACCGGUGGCGAAAGCGGCUCUCUGGUCUGUAACUGACGCUGAGGCUCGAAAGCGUGGGGAGCAAACAGG
rnacentral:rRNA from 1 species